UUAAGUUCAGCGGGUAUCCCUACCUGAUCCGAGGUCAAACUUGGUUAAAGAUGUGGUCUUUAACGGCAGGAGCACGCCGCAACCUCCCUAGCGAGACAGUAAGUAGGUACUACGCUCGGAGUUGUAGCGAGCCCGCCACUUCCUUUCAGGGCCCACGGCAGCCGUGGGACCCCAACACCAAGCAGGGCUUGAGGGUUGAA
rnacentral:misc_RNA from 1 species